GUGAAGCGACUUUGUUGGUUUGUAUACGAUGUCAAUUCCUAAAGGUUUGAAGAGAAUUGACGUCGUAUACAAACCAACAAAGUCGCUUCACUCAA
rnacentral:pre_miRNA from 15 species